UUACAUGCAAUCAUAAAAUUUAUAACAAUAGCCAUAAUAAAACAUGCAUGAACGAAUUAUAACACAUUUGAACAUGUAAUCAUGCAUAUGGCAGGUUUUAUGAAAAUUUUCUCACAAACCUUUAUCCCAUAACAUGAAUUCCCAACAACCCCCCAAGUCAUAUCUAUAGAGUCACCUUAACAAGAAGGAGAAUGCUGAUCAUAGUAGGAUGAUGAGGAAACUAAGUUUGUGUGGAUUCUUGAAGCAUGAAAGAUGUUGAAGUUGAUGUUGGUUGCCUUCCCUCUUCCUUUAUCUUCCAUGUUUUCCACCCUUUGCUCCUCCAUCCCACCAUAUUCUGAUUUGUGCAAGGUAGGGAAAGAAUGAGGAAAGAAAGUUACAUAAUGCCCUAUCCCAUUUAAGAGGUGAAAUGACCACAAUACAUUUUUCUAUCUAAUUGACCCAAUUUCUAAAGAAAUGCUAAUUAGUAGAAAUUAGUACCAUUAAUCUCCCAAUUAAUCACACUAAUAGUUCAUUAAUCUGUUAAUUAGUCGAUAAUGUACCAGGGUAUUAAAGAUAGUUUUUCACUGAUGAAUCAAGAAGGGUGGCAAAAUGUGACAAGGAAGAGGAGCAACUUCGAGAGAAGCAAUCUCUAGGGCAAUAAGGGCUCGAAGAACUAUAAGAAUAACCCAAGUAUAACAACAAAUUUCGUUUCCACCUCGUUUUUGGAGGAACGCAAAUCAAAAGAUAUGUAUGAAGAGUUGAAGAACUUUAGAGACAUAGAUGAAGUAAUCACCCAUCCAAAAUAUAUAUUCGAUGGAAAAGGUACAAUUUUGUGAGAUUCUUUGGGAGUCAAUGAUGCAAGAUUGCUCGCGACAAAACUGGACAACAUGUUUAUUAGAAAUGAUAAGCUAUUUGUCAACCUUCCAUGGUUUUGAAGAAGGAAAAAGUCGGAUACCUGAAGGAAUUAAGGGCCUAGCAGUGACGCUUAUAAGAAAGAUGUUGGAGGUACGUUUCACAUCAAGGAUAACGAUAGAAGUUACUUCAUAAUGGCCGGGAAAUUUGGCGGAACCGGGGUCUAAAGUUGUAUGUGAACGUGUUGAAGAAUAAUUCUAACCAACAAUAGAACAAGAAUUUCAAAGAAAAAUGUGUUCUAACUCUGAUGAAAGGAAAGGGUGUCGUCCCAACUCCACCCCAAUUGUUAGGCCUUCAUUUGGGCUUAUUAGAUACUACCUCAUUAUUUGAAUGUUGAUGCAUCGGUUUAUUAUUCCUCCAUGAUGACUCAUAGAUUUGGAUUUUGAGUGAUUUUGUUUACGGACAUGGAUGUGAAUACUACUUUUAUAAGUUCCUAUGAUUCACUUAGACAGGAUUAAUGUUAUCAUGAAUAAUUAGGUAAAUUUGAAUUUUCUAUGAAAAAGAUAAAAGGAUUAGUGAAAUUAACAAACCAAUGACCAAAAGAAAUAGAUGAAAAAUAAGACAAGAGAUGCGCCACACUUUUAAUCCAAAAGAUUAUAAGUCUUCUGGAGUGAAGGUAGCAAAAAAUUUAUUAGAAAAGAAAUACAUAUUUAAGAGUAGUAAAAUAAAUCAUAUUCGUUAAAAUUGUUUGUUCUUUAACCCUGCAUUACAAAACAAACUUGAAAAUAUUUUUCUUUUAAAAGUUAACCACAAGUGUCAAGAAGAAAACUAAAGUACAUAUUUUAUGGUAAAGUUAACCGCAUCUAAUAACAAAGAUCUCCAUUUUUCUAUAACAAAGAUUUUGUAUUUUCACUUUUUUUAAAUCACUCAUGGUAUGUCAAUGAGUCUACCAUACAUUGAGAAAAUCAAACUCGAUAAUCAAAUUAAAAUUAUAAAGAUUGGAUAAAAUAAACUCAUAAAUGCCCUAGUUCGAAUAAUUAAUUAAUUGAUUCUAUUUGCAUCGACUCACACCA
rnacentral:lncRNA from 1 species